rnacentral:lncRNA from 10 species
AAAGCCUUAUUUUUUCCUCAAAAUAUUAACUUUAUUUUUCUCCCUGUAAAAUCAAGACACAGUUAAAAUGUAGCCUUCCUCAUUUUCUGGGAAUACUUUCUAACAAGAUAUGCUUCUUUCCAAUUGGACUUCUAAAUUUCUAGCAAUUCUAACAGUGCAUAAAAGAGGCAACCCCAAAAGUGUAGCAGGUACUGAAUAACAGAUUUGCAGCCUUGGGUAUCCACAUUAAAAUUUGAAAUCUAAGUGAAUUACUUCAAGCUGAUUUCUUAGGUCAAGGAGAGAUUAUGGUCCUUAAAUGCCUGAUAAGGUCACAUACACAAUUUCAAGUGCAUUAUAGUAAAUCCAUGUGACAGCUCCUACAGCUACUAACCUGCUUCCGCCCUCACGGUAACGUGCACAAUCUUCAUCGCAUGUCCUGGGUGGUGGUAGGAGCAGUAGAAACCCCCUGGGUCAUGUCAGAUUUAGAAAAUAUAAGCAAUGGCUCAUACACGAAUUUUAAGUUGUAACCUACAUGUGAUAAGUUGCUUUAUCUUCCAAAUGUAAUAAAAACCAGAAGUUACUUUGAAAUAAAUUGAAGGAUUAGCAGUGGUGACUGAGGAAUAAAAAUUAUAAUUUAAAAUUGUCCUUAAAGCUGGAAUUCUUAACUUAUUGACCUUAUAUCCUACAUAUUAUAGGACUUUGUAAAUUUAGGCUGAUAUGGAA